GGGCCUGUAGCUCAACGGUUAGAGCAGGGGACUCAUAAUCCCUUGGUUGUCGGUUCGAAUCCGUCCGGGCCCA
rnacentral:tRNA from 1 species